rnacentral:rRNA from 1 species
CCAGACUCCUACGGGAGGCAGCAGUGGGGAAUAUUGCACAAUGGGCGCAAGCCUGAUGCAGCCAUGCCGCGUGUAUGAAGAAGGCCUUCGGGUUGUAAAGUACUUUCAGUCGGGAGGAAGGUGGUAAGGUUAAUAACCUUAUCAAUUGACGUUACCGACAGAAGAAGCACCGGCUAACUCCGUGCCAGCAGCCGCGGUAAUACGGAGGGUGCAAGCGCUAAUCGGAAUUACUGGGCGUAAAGCGCACGCAGGCGGUCUGUCAAGUCGGAUGUGAAAUCCCCGGGCUCAACCUGGGAACUGCAUUCGAAACUGGCAGGCUGGAGUCUUGUAGAGGGGGGUAGAAUUCCAGGUGUAGCGGUGAAAUGCGUAGAGAUCUGGAGGAAUACCGGUGGCGAAGGCGGCCCCCUGGACAAAGACUGACGCUCAGGUGCGAAAGCGUGGGGAGCAAACAGGAUUAGAUACCCCGGUAAG